UACGAAGGGGGCUAGCGUUGCUCGGAAUCACUGGGCGUAAAGGGUGCGUAGGCGGGUCUUUAAGUCAGGGGUGAAAUCCUGGAGCUCAACUCCAGAACUGCCUUUGAUACUGAAGAUCUUGAGUUCGGGAGAGGUGAGUGGAACUGCGAGUGUAGAGGUGAAAAUUCGUAGAUAUUCGCAAGAACACCAGUGGCGAAGGCGGCUCACUGGCCCAUAACUGACGCUGAGGCACGAAAGCGUGGGGGAGCAA
rnacentral:rRNA from 1 species